UAAUACAUGCAAGUCGAGCGAACGGACGAGAAGCUUGCUUCUCUGAUGUUAGCGGCGGACGGGUGAGUAACACGUGGAUAACCUACCUAUAAGACUGGGAUAACUUCGGGAAACCGGAGCUAAUACCGGAUAAUAUUUUGAACCGCAUGGUUCAAAAGUGAAAGACGGUCUUGCUGUCACUUAUAGAUGGAUCCGCGCUGCAUUAGCUAGUUGGUAAGGUAACGGCUUACCAAGGCAACGAUGCAUAGCCGACCUGAGAGGGUGAUCGGCCACACUGGAACUGAGACACGGUCCAGACUCCUACGGGAGGCAGCAGUAGGGAAUCUUCCGCAAUGGGCGAAAGCCUGACGGAGCAACGCCGCGUGAGUGAUGAAGGUCUUUGGAUCGUAAAACUCUGUUAUUAGGGAAGAACAUAUGUGUAAGUAACUGUGCACAUCUUGACGGUACCUAAUCAGAAAGCCACGGCUAACUACGUGCCAGCAGCCGCGGUAAUACGUAGGUGGCAAGCGUUAUCCGGAAUUAUUGGGCGUAAAGCGCGCGUAGGCGGUUUUUUAAGUCUGAUGUGAAAGCCCACGGCUCAACCGUGGAGGGUCAUUGGAAACUGGAAAACUUGAGUGCAGAAGAGGAAAGUGGAAUUCCAUGUGU
rnacentral:rRNA from 1 species